rnacentral:rRNA from 1 species
ACAAUGGGCGAAAGCCUGAUGGAGCAACGCCGCGUGGGUGAAGAAGGUCUUCGGAUCGUAAAACCCUGUUGUUAGAGAAGAAAGUGCGUGAGAGUAACUGUUCACGUUUCGACGGUAUCUAACCAGAAAGCCACGGCUAACUACGUGCCAGCAGCCGCGGUAAUACGUAGGUGGCAAGCGUUAUCCGGAUUUAUUGGGCGUAAAGGGAACGCAGGCGGUCUUUUAAGUCUGAUGUGAAAGCCUUCGGCUUAACCGGAGUAGUGCAUUGGAAACUGGGAGACUUGAGUGCAGAAGAGGAGAGUGGAACUCCAUGUGUAGCGGUGAAAUGCGUAGAUAUAUGGAAGAACACCAGUGGCGAAAGCGGCUCUCUGGUCUGUAACUGACGCUGAGGUUCGAAAGCGUGGGUAGCAAACAGGAUUAGAUACCCUGGUAGUCCACGCCGUAAACGAUGAAUGCUAAGUGUUGGAGGGUUUCCGCCCUUCA